ACCUGGGUGGCUCAGUCGGUUGAGUGUCUGACUUCAGCUCAGGUCAUGAUUUGUGGGUUCGAGCCCCGCAUCGGGCU
rnacentral:tRNA from 1 species